rnacentral:rRNA from 1 species
CUACGGGAUGCAGCAGUGGGGAAUCUUAGACAAUGGGGGAAACCCUGAUCUAGCCAUGCCGCGUGAGCGACGACGGCCCUAGGGUUGUAAAGCUCUUUCAGCAGGGAAGAUAAUGACGGUACCUGCAGAAGAAGUCCCGGCUAACUCCGUGCCAGCAGCCGCGGUAAUACGGAGGGGACUAGCGUUGUUCGGAAUUACUGGGCGUAAAGCGCGCGUAGGCGGAGUGUUAAGUCGGGGGUGAAAUCCCGGGGCUCAACCCCGGAACUGCCCUCGAUACUGGCAGUCUUGAGUUCGGGAGAGGUGAGUGGAAUUCCGAGUGUAGAGGUGAAAUUCGUAGAUAUUCGGAGGAACACCAGUGGCGAAGGCGGCUCACUGGCUCGAUACUGACGCUGAGGUGCGAAAGCGUGGGGAGCAAACAGGAUUAGAUACCCCAGUAGUC